AAACAAAAAUUCAGGGUUUUGAGUGUUUUCCAGGGUUUCCAUGGGGAGCCUGCAUGGAAAUCCUGGAAAACCCUGAAUUUUUGUU